rnacentral:rRNA from 1 species
ACGUAGGCAGCAAGCGUUGUUCGGAAUUACUGGGCGUAAAGAGUGUGUAGGCGGUGCUCUAAGUUUGGUGUGAAAUCUCCCGGCUUAACCGGGAGGCUGCAUCGAAUACUGGAGUGCUAGAGGAUUGGAGAGGUAAGCGGAAUUCCUGGUGUAGCGGUGAAAUGCGUAGAUAUCAGGAGGAACACCUGAGGCGAAGGCGGGCUACUGGGCCGAUACUGACGCUGAUGCGCGAAAGCCAGGGGAGCAAACGGGA